GAUGAAGAACGCAGCGAAAUGCGAUAAGUAAUGUGAAUUGCAGAAUUCAGUGAAUCAUCGAAUCUUUGAACGCACAUUGCGCCCCCCAGUAUUCUGGCGGGCAUGCCUGUUCGAGCGUCAUUUCAACCAUCAAGCCCUGCUUGUGUUGGGGUCCUGCGGCUGCCCGCAGGCCCUGAAAACCAGUGGCGGGCUCGCUAGUCACACCGAGCGCAGUAGCACAUCUCGCUCAGGGCGUGCGGCGGGCUCCAGCCGUUAAAGCACCCACCUUUCGCAAGGUUGACCACGGAGCAGGUAGGAAUACCCGCUGAACUUAAGCAUAUCAAUAAGCGGAGGA
rnacentral:misc_RNA from 1 species